rnacentral:ncRNA from 1 species
UGCUUCGGUGCCGCGGGCGGCUUUUUCCGAACAAGAACCGAGGUGAAAGAACCCCACCAAGCCCCACCCCUCCCGCCCGCAGCGCAAACUCACUCACGCGAGUGAAUAUGCCAACUGGAGUGGAUUCGGGCCGGGUUGUCUGCCCUACGCUCAGCGCAACAGCCGCAGACAUGCGACGGCCCCCGCCGGGACUGCCAUCCCAGUGCGAGGGCCUGACCACCGAGGAAGAUAAGGGCUUCCCG